GUAGACUUACUCUUGGACCUGCAGCUCCAUCAGCACCAGGGAAACCACGAGCACCAGGAGCACCCUGCACAGACAGUAGGUCCGCGGGCACCACCAGCACCGGGCUCACCACGGGGUCCUCUCUUGCCUUCCUCACCAGGGGGACCAGGGGGACCCUGAACUCCUUGGGCACCCUAGGGGGACCAGCAGCGCCACGGGGACCCAUUGGACCCUACAGAAUGAAAGAAAGUCUAGGUUAGGAAAAAACAUCAGUGUCCAUCUGUUGGAGGAGAGUUUCCAAACCUGUGCCAACUUGUCUCCAAAGGCUCACGCAUGCAGAACGUGAAAGGCCCAGUUGGUCUAAUGCACAUCCAGACUAAGCAAAAAGUUCUUCACCAUUCCAGAAGAAUAUAAAAACUAUGCUUCAGGCGACAGGACAAUGCCUCAUAGGAAAAAAAUUCAUGACACAAUUAUUUCUAUUGCUGCCUCCCUCCACAGCAUCACAAAUACCCUUGCCUCUUCACUUUGCACCCACUACCCUCCAGCAAAGCUUGGAAAGUUAGAAAAGUUAUACUUACGAUCGUCCUCGCCUUGUCCUCUUGCCAAAAGCACCGUUGCGCUGAGCAACAGCGCCAGCCGAAUAUCCACAAAGCUGAACAUGUCUAAAUAUUAGACAUGUAGACUCUUUGAGGCGAGGGAAGUUCUGUUUUCCUUUAGACUCCAAUCAUACACGGUAGGGUCCGGUCUUCUGUGACUCCAAUCCAGACCCCAGCAGAAACUCCCUACUGCCUAAACUAACUCUAGGUCCUGGCUUUUAUACCCCAAAGUUUCUGGGAGGCGCCGGGAGCAGCAGAUAACUCAAGCAUGUUCAUGUAUAAUAGAAAAAGCGUCCCUCCUUCACCGGACAGGGGGGCUGUCUUCACAACGUUUGCAGAGCUAACUUCUAAAGAAACCUGAUCUCUUAAUAAAAAGGUGAGGGUUUGCACUCAAAAUUUCUUUUUGGUGAGGCUAGGUUGUGUGCCAGGGUGACCACCUGUACUGCGGGCAUCACUCCGGACUUUUGUUGCAAAUCUGAAUUCAGGAAAAACCACGACUUUCUUCACAGAGGGACUUGGAGAUGGAUGCAGUGAUUUCUGAGCUAAAUUUGUCUUCGUUUCUUAAUUUAUUUGUAUACUGAUGGAACAGUUCUGAUUCACAGGCUUCAUAAACGGUUAUUACAGUUAUUUCUUCAUUUGUGGAAUUCUGUAACCAAGAACUGUACUAUUUUAGAUUUUUUUUUAGUAUUAAAUUGUUAUCUAUCUAUCUAUCUAUCUAUCUAUCUAUCUAUCUAUCUAUCUAUCUAUCUAUCUAUCUAUCUAUCUAUCUAUCUAUCUAUCUAGCUAUCAUUGUGCGGUCAUCUGUAGUUUGUAUUAAAUAGUAAAUAAAAAGUUGUUUUGUAUUUUGCUUGUUGAUUAUUUAUUUUAAUAGCCCCCAAAUUACUGAAAUUAUUAGCCAAAUAGUUCACCUUAUAUAAAAUCAGUUGUGUUUGGUAAAUAAUGGAAUAAUAAAUGUGAAACUGAAGCCU
ensembl:antisense